rnacentral:rRNA from 1 species
UACGUAGGGAGCAAGCGUUGUCCGGAAUCAUUGGGCGUAAAGCGCGCGUAGGUGGCUUCGUAAGUCCGUUGUGAAAGUCAAAGGCUCAACCUUUGAAAGCCGAUGGAUACUGCGGAGCUAGAGUACGGAAGAGGCGAGUGGAAUUCCUGGUGUAGCGGUGGAAUGCGCAGAUAUCAGGAGGAACACCAAUAGCGAAAGCAGCUCGCUGGGACGUUACUGACACUGAGGCGCGAAAGCGUGGGGAGCGAACAGG